CAAAAGUCUCAAGUGAAGUAAGGCG
rnacentral:rRNA from 1 species